rnacentral:rRNA from 1 species
AUACGGAGGGUCCAAGCGUUAUCCGGAUUCAUUGGGUUUAAAGGGUCCGCAGGCGGGAAAAUAUGUCAGUGGUGAAAGCCUACAGCUCAACUGUAGAACUGCCAUUGAUACUGUUUUUCUUGAGUAUAGAUGAAGUGGGCGGAAUAUAUCAUGUAGCGGUGAAAUGCAUAGAUAUGAUAUAGAACACCGAUUGCGAAGGCAGCUCACUAAACUAUUACUGACGCUCAGGGACGAAAGCGUGGGGAGCGAACAGGAUUAGAAACCCUAGUAGUCC